rnacentral:tRNA from 1 species
ACUUAUUUAAUAUAUUAAGUAUAGUUGACUUCCAAUCAAAAAGUUUGUCUUACAAAAUAAGUA